rnacentral:tRNA from 1 species
UGGCUUGUAGCAUAAGGGUAAUGCAUCUGCCUGUUAAGCAGAAAGAUGGUGGUUCGAAUCCACCCGAGUCAGCCA